rnacentral:lncRNA from 1 species
GAGUCUUUAGGUCCGCGUUUGUGAUGAAAAAGGGAACGGCCAUGAUGAAGCCUCAAAAUUCGCUCCCUUGCGUGGCGUCCUCUUUGUGGUGCGUGGGAAUCUUCCUAGGGUUUACUACCCUUCUUUCUGCUCUUGCCGCCUAGCGGCUUUCCAACUUUCCUAUUUUCUUUCUCUCUCUUAGCAUUUGUCCGUGAUCUUCGUUCGUUCAAGCUCAGUUCUCCAUUUCAGGUAUUAUCUCUCUUUCACUCUCUCUUUUCUCUCGACUUCUUUCCUCCAGAUUCUCCUUUUAGAUCUCUUGGACGAAAUCCAAGCCCGAUUUUACCCUAGACUCUUUUUCUAUAGGCGGUAGGGUUAGGUCAAAGAAGCAGAGAUCUGGUGCCGGUCCGUCAGAAUCGAUGGACUCCUCUGGUUCUUCGCUAGAUCUUACCGCGGAGGUUGAAAACCCGAGCCGCGCAGU